GACGAACGCUGGCGGCGUGCCUAAUACAUGCAAGUCGAACGCAGGGGGGACGGGUGAGUAACACGUGGGUAACCUCCCAUCAGAGGGGAUAACACGUGGAAACAGGUGCUAAACCGAUACUGAUGGAUGGACCAGGGGUGCAUUAGCUAGUUGGUGGGGUAACGGCCCACCAAGGCGACGAUGCAUAGCGUGCCUGAGAGGGUGAUCAGCCACACUGGAACUGAGACACGGUCCAGACUCCUACGGGAGGCAGCAGUAGGGAAUCUUCGGCAAUGGACGAAAGUCUGACCGAGCAACGCCGCGUGAGUGAAGAAGGUUUUCGGAUCGUAAAGCUCUGUUGUUAGGGAAGCGGUAUCUAACCAGAAAGCCACGGCUAACUACGUGCCAGCAGCCGCGGUAAUAC
rnacentral:rRNA from 1 species